AAGGGGGGGAAGGGAGAGAGGGACCUUGGCCCCACGCCUUGGUGGGGAGGGGCUGGGCCUGCGGGCCUGGGGUGGCGGCCACGUGCACAUGGCCUAAGCAGAAUGAAACACAAUUAAAUGACCCGCGGCCUGCAGCUGGGGGGGAGCAUGGGAGCGGCUUUGUGAAGCACCCGCUUCAGGGGGCGCGGACACUGACCCCGCCUCCUCCAGCCGUGGGCUCUUAAAGAGAAUGUCCCCGGCGCGAUGCCUGCCCUUGGUGUCCAUCGCAAGUUCGCACUUGGGUCAGCCCUGGGAGGCCUUGGGUUCGGGGAGCUCCUCAGGCAUCAGCUGGGGCUUGCCAGGCUUACCUCAGAGGAGAGAAACUGGCCCUUCUUAGCCAGGGGAGCAGAUCUCUGUUGCGGAACAGCACCCAGCCCGGUCCAGGGGGCGUUGGCUGAUGCUAUCCCGAUUUUGUCCAGCCCCAAAAUACCACAGGGGCAGAAGGAGCUAAAAACCAUCCUCUCUAUAGAUCGUGAGUCGAACUUAGCUAGUGCUUUUAUUAAGAGAUUCUUUUCUGAACGCCAGCAAGGUGCUCAGAGAAACUGGAUUCUGUGGGUUCUGGCAUUCUUGAUCAGAACAAGACCCAGUGUAGCAGAGCUAUGGACGAGUGUUGCACACAUGGGAGCUGGCCUGAUGUGGAGAGCAGCGGUAAACCAGCGCGUGCAGGGAACAGGAGCUGGCCAGUUUAAGUGGAACUUGGUUGAGGUGGAAGCCUGAUUACUGUUUCUGGAUUCACUGCUUUGCCAUUGACACUGUACACUCCUUGGCUACUCCAGGCAGGAGCACGGGUCCCUAAAACCGACGCUACCCCCCCAAAAAUGAAAUAACAUAACGGGGCAGCGUUCCCGAUCCCAUCCAGGUGCCUUGGGCAGCGGGAGGUUCUGAGACGGGGGGCCCGGGCGUUGCCCACGCGGUUCGCACUGCGGUGUGAUUGAUGCUUGUCAGUACAAGAGCUGUGGCACCGGGCGCACACAGCUAGUCUCCCAGUUGAGCGUCCUCGACUGUAUAGCCCUCCGCAGGGCCCCGGUGCAAGGUCCACCUCUUCAGGAAGCAGCCCGCUGUGGUCUCUCCCUGUCUAUUCCCUGUCUUGUGCUCCCCAUAGAGUCUGCCUUUCAGAUGAAUCCCGUUUUUUGCUUUCUGCUUUUCGAGUGCCAGGCACUCUGCUCAGCCCUAGAGUUACAAAGACCAAAGUGAAACAGCCCCAGACCUCAAAGAGCUUGUCUUCUAAUGGAAGGGGCGGUGUACACAGAUAUGCAUACAGACAAAAUAGAGACAGAAUACUUGGUGACGUUAAAGGAGAAGUCAUCCGCAACUGGGAUUUGGGGUUUCAGGGGAGAAAUUGCAAAGGGCUCUCGCAGAAGAUGCACGCUCCGGCUGAGUCUUAAAGGAAGCCGGGGAUUCAGAGGCAGAAAUGAGGAAGAAGGGCAUUCCAGGCAAGCGCACAGCCCAGUGUGAAGACAAGGACCCUGGUACCCUGAAGGGAUGUUCUUCACAAAGGAGGCUCUAAGCCGUGGAGCCUCCUUCAUGAAGAACAGCCCUUCAGGGUACCAGGAGGUAAGUAAUGUGUAUCAUUAAAUUAAUAGGAAGGGGAUAAGUGAAGCUUAUGUCAGAUAUGUCAGCCAGAGAGAAUUUCAGGCUUCGUUUUAAAGAUAAGAGGGCACCAAUGGAGUUUUUAUAGGUAGUGGGCUACUUGAAUAUGAAAAGAAUAAAUUACUAAACGUUGAACACAAAAAUGAUGCGCUCCUUGGAUAAAUACUACUGGGCUCUGAAUAGUGAAUCAGCAUAUACACAGCAAAGAAAAUAGAAUUCCUAUUAGAGCAGAACCACAUUUUAAGGCUUUAAUGAAUCAUGAUUUGGGAUUUUAGGAGAAGCAAUCUAAGUAAAUUACUUGCCAAAGGCUAUUGGAAAGUACUCAAAUCUUUUUUAGAAACCUCCCCCCACCCUUUAAAAAAUAUGAAUUGUCUCCUACAAUUUUUGUGAUUGAGAAUUUUAAAUCCACUUUCUAAUCUGUGAAUCUGCUCAGGAUUCAAUCAUUUCCUUGCCAAAAACUUUUUAUUUCUAUCCAAUUUUCUUACUUGCAUAGAUCAGUUUUUCAGAAUACUUAAACUAUAGCUGGCUUCCUAAUGGACCAUUCUACAAUUUUAAAUGCUUGUUAUUUUGGUAUCUGUCAUCAGCAUGUUAGAUUUGAUUGAUGCUGAAUAAGGGAAGUGGACUAUUCUGUUCUCACCAGAGAACAUUAGCUAUUUGGGGACUGAGAAAGAUUGAAGAGUCAGGAUUGACUGCAACAUUGCAGACCUAGGUUUUCUGGGAAAAUGGUCAUAUCCCCAAAAGAAAUAGAAGAAUAGAUUUGAGGAAUGGAGGGGUGGAUAACUAAUUCUGUUUUAAGCAUGCUUAGUUUGAGAUAACUAUGAACUGUUUGAGUGGAGCUCUCCUGCAAGCAGAUAAUAUGGAAUGAGAGGUCAGUAGAUGCAGGAUUGUAUAUGUAGACAUGCAAGUUGAUAAGAUCAACAAAAGUAUAGAACAAGAAAUACUCAGGACUAAAAUUUAGAAUACUCUUGCACUCAUGUGGAAGGACUCGGAUAACAAUCUUACAAAAAGACAAAGAAGUGAAAACCCUAAGGAGAUGGUAGGAUCAAAGGAAGGUUGUUCUUAAAAUCUGAAUGGGAUAUAAACAUUCUUACUCGGCAGGAAAGGUCAAAAAAUUUGUAGGACUAAAGGAACAAACUCUUAGAGAAACCUUGAGGGGGAUUAUGACCAUGGCAUAGAGACUUUGGUCUUAGCACUUCUCCUAGGACUAGAAAGUUGAAGGACAGGGCAGAUGCCAUAUUGUGGAGAUUUUAAUAUGUAGGAUGUAGGCUGAUAUAAGGAUAAAUGGUCUCAGAGGUUUCAGGAUAGAGGUCAGAUGACCAGAGAAUUAGUGUCUGGGCCCUGGACCUGGAUUGGGCUUGAUAGAGAGGAGCAGAUGGAGAAGUCAAAGAAGGAUUUUUAAAUUUAGAGCCAAAAAGGAGCUUUAAUGAUUGUAUAGAACAAUUGCCUCAUUUUAUAGAUGAGCAAAGAGUUAUGAAGAGACUUUCCCAAGACUCUCAGAUUAGUUUUAGAUUAACAGUUCUUGGGUUUUUUCACAAUGUAAAACACUGAGCAUCUGCUAUCAGUGUUAUUGGCAUUUUUAAAAAAGAGUCCUUGUGUCUUGGAAGAUAUAUUUACACCCCUGCCUUCUUGUGGGCCACAGUCAAAGUCAAAUUUAAAAUGAUUUUUCAAAAAUACAUCUUGUGGGAAUCAGUUUAUAAUAUCCACCAUGUGUGAAAGAAAAGCAAUUAAAAGCAAAUUACUGAACUGAUGCAGUGAAUUAAGCAGAAAAGCAUAAGUAACAACUUAAAUGGGAUAAAUAUAAAGAAAUUAAAUUAUAAUAACCCCAAAGAAGAACUGGGAAAAUCCGUCCCUCUCCCCUUUUUUUCAAAAUUAGGGGAUUAAAGGUGUCAUAUUGUCAGAUACCUUUGCUAUUUUCCUAUUGCACUGCCCUCUUGCCUUAGAUGUAGCACUCUAGCUUCCACCUUGGAGUCCUGGAUUCUAUUGCAUCAAUUAAUUACCCUAUGAUCCACCAUCCCAAUGAUUUUCCCUACCAAAACACUUUUCCUUGUCCAUCUGUCCCCUUAGGGGUUGUCCUCCCUUAGGAGAAAGUAAGUACUUUUUGCAUUUUUAUCCCCAGUGCUUGGCACUAUGCCAAAUAUAUCAUAAGCAGUUAACAAAUAUUUUUCAUGGGUUGGUUUUACUGGACAGUUGGGUUUUUUUUUUAUUCUUUGUUACUAGAGAUGGUUUGCUGAGUAAGGGAAAGGAAGAUUCAGAAACAGUAGUAGGAAAAUGAAAGAAAUGGAAUUUUAAAAGUUUCUGAAGUAGUAGUGAAGAGUGAAGGUAAUGUGUUUCACACAUUUGUGGUUCCAGAUGCCUGUGACAUUUGAAGAUGUGACUGUGUAUUUCACGGAGCAAGAGUGGAAUAUCUUAGAGGAGUGGCAGAAAGAGCUUUACAAAGAUGUGGUGAAGACCAAUUAUAGAACCUUAAUCUCACUGGGUAAGAUGUUUUCAUGAGGAAUUUUGAGGAUGUUUUACAGAAUCAGAUCCUGAAGAGACCUCCAAAAGUCAUCUAGCUUGAAUGCUUAGAGCUUACAGUAUAGCUAGAUAGAUAGUUCUUCAAUACAGGUGAUUGUUCUGUUCGGUUCAAUUCAUUGCAUUUAUUGAGAUAGUAGGGACUAGGAGUACAAAGACAACCAUGAAACUAUAACUGAUGACAGCUGCCAUCAAUAUUGACAAUGAUCCCCUCAAAACUGGAAGUGUUGACUACUGUGAAUGCUCAGACUAUCACACUGAUUCAACUUGUCUCCAUGCCAGCUCCAAUAUCUCAAGGGAUGUAGCUGCUCUAUAGCAUUUUUCUAGAUUUUUGCUGGUGUCUGGGGCUUUUGUUGGUUGAUAGCAUUGACCCUCAAGAUGUCAUCUCAGGCCAGUCUUAGUUGUCUUCUUUCUCCUGUUUGGAGUCAUCAUCUCCUUUUCAGUUCUAUAAAUAUUUCAUGAAUUACCCACAAGAACAAAUUGACAACUUGGAAGUUUUCUGUCCCAAAGUGCAUCUCCUCAUACUUUCCUUUUAACAGCUUUAUUCUAAAUUUUAGGAUCCUUUUUGUCAAAAACAGAACUAGAAUUUUACACAGGCCUCCUGCUCUGCUUUGUAUAGCUGACAAAUGUGUCCCUACUGUGUAAAGAGUGCUAAAUUCAGUUUUGUGGGAAAUACAGAAAUCUAUGUACGUAUACAUAUAUGUUUGUGUAUGUGAUAAGGAGGGAGGGAGGGAGAAAUGGAACCCAGGACUUCCUGACUCCAGGCCUAGCUGUCUCUGCUGUCAAUAGGUCUCAAACUUACUGCCAUUGGGGAGCAGGUUAAAAUGGAAUUGAGAAAUGUUUGACAAAAUAAAAAUAUGGCACAACAUAGAUGAUGUUAAUUUGUGGUUUUCUAUGGCAGUAUUCUGCCAGCUAGGAUCUGUUUCUAUUUGAGUUUCAACACCCCUCCUCUCAGCCACUCUGCUUUUCUUAUUGGUAUAAAACAAACAGGAACUAGUAGUCUUUUUGCAUACAGCAUUGGAUAUAAAUAUACAUUUGUAAAUAAUAGUUGAGAUUUUUUGAAGAUGGGGAAAUGCAUGGCUUGAGAAUUCCCUACACAUGGUUGUGAUCUAGUAGAUACACUUUAGAGAAUUGAUCAUGUUCCCUAUUGUCACUUAUACUUCCAAAUCCAGCCCUCUGCUCAUUCCAUUGCCUCUGGUACCUGAACCUCUAGUCUAAAAGUAUUAUGUAAAACUCAGGUUAGCUCCCCAGAUAGUCUCAGUGGUAUGCUCUGACUCUUGAGACUUCCCUACCUAGCACUGACCAAUCUGCCACACUUUGUUCUAAAUUAUGUUUAAAAUGGCAAAUAGUAAUAUUUGAUCUAUCUUAUAAGGUUUUUAUAGACUUAAAAGCACCAUAUAAAUGUGACUUGAUGUGAGGCAAGUCCUUACCUCUGAGCAGGACAGUCAUCCAUUUGAGCCAGAUGGUAAUGAAAACUUAUUACCAAGAGCACUGGGGAAUGUUUUACCUAGAACCAGUAUUUUUCAAGGCACAUUCAUUCAAAGAUUGAUUUUAUGACAGUUUCCACAUUUUGAGUCAACCCAAAUAGCUAUCAAGGAACUCAAAAACCAAAAAUAAUUAUAAUUUAAUCACCAUACAUAGUACUGAACUUUUAAGAGAGAAGAAAUUAACUUACAUGCAGCUUAGAACCAGAGAUAUAUAGGGUAUCACUCCAGGAACCCAGUAUUAGGAUAUGGACAUCUCCAUUUGUUAUAAGUAUUCCCAAAACUUGUGCUUCUAGGGAUCUUAAGGAAAAUAAGCUUACUUGCUGUUUUGUGACCUCUUGUCCAGGCUAUGUCAUUCCCAAACCAGACUUGAUUGAUAAUCCAGAUUGAACAAGGAGAAGAGCCAUAUUCAUCAGAGAUCAGGGACACUUGGGCACAAGGAAACUAACUGUUGGUUCCAGGACUGAUGAGCCUCGUGACUUGAAGAACACACAGGAUCAACUGUUUUCUUGGAAUUCUACAUCUUCAAGUU